rnacentral:lncRNA from 1 species
CGCGCGGCGUGGCGGGCCAGGCCCGUGGCGGCGCGGAGCCACGUCAUUGCCGCCUCCUCGUCCUCCUGAAUCGAAUCGGGCGCGACGGGGUGAGCGAAUCGAUCGAGGGGCGGGGCCGGAAGACGGCGGAUCGGGGGUAUGGGGAUCAAGGGGGGCGUGCGUACCUUGUGCGGUCAAUGGCGGCGGCGGCGGUGGCGGAAACCCUCGUCGGAAUCGAGGAAUGGCGAGUUUAUUUUGCCUUCCUUUUUUCCCCUUGUUGUCUUGGGAAAGGGUGCAGCCCCCGAUGCGAACGCGACGCUGUACGAGGCGAGGGUGGAAAGGGACGAACGGAAUGGGUUCGGGUCAAAAGCGGUGGCCGGUGGGCCCACCACUCCGGUGGGGUCCGGUGGGGUCCGGUGGGCAAGGGUUCCGGUUCAAAACGUCUCGUGGGUGCGCGUUUUUUUUCUUCUUCAUGUUAGAGUUUAAUUAAUUAUGUAAUUAAUUAAGUUAAUCCCUACUUGUAACCGCACGCACUAUGCGGGAACCGACAUAUGCGGGAACCGCCUUUCCCUGUCAUAUAAAGUUCAUCAUCAAGAAUAAAGUGGAUAGUUGUUUUCCAUUACAUCUCUCUCUUUUCAAUUAUAACACGUAGCACUGCUUCUUCGAGAGCGCCUUCGACGAGAAGAGAUAGACAGGAAGAAGAAAAGCUUUCUACGAGGACAAUCCGAUGGAAGAGGAAUUAUGCCUUGUGGACAGUGCUACCACAAACUCCAUUCUGAGGAAGUUGAAAUAUUUUCAGACUCUGAAAAAGAUGAAUGGAGAUAUUUUGACAAUCGCUGGACGCGAUACGGUAAUUGUUGGCACUGGACGUGCCAUAUUUACCCUUCCAGAUGGUACACAGGUGACAAUUGAGGAUGCCUUGUUGUAUCCCGAUUCAUCCCGUACCCUCAUCAGUUUUCGAGAUAUCCGUAAAAAUGGUUUUCACAUUGAAACUCAUCAGGACAACAAAGAAGAGUUUCUAUUCUUCACAAAAGAUUACGGAUAUGGCAAGCAAGUACUUGAAAGAAUUCCUUCACUAUCGUCCGGACUGUACUAUACGUACAUCAAGCCCGUAGAACAUGUUGCUUACAAGGUAAUUUUUCAGAAUGUUAAUGCAUUCCAAACUUGGCAUGAUCGCCUUGGUCACCCCAGUGUUGGGAUGAUGAGGAAAAUUACUAGCAAUUCCAUUGGUCAUAAUUUGCUUGAGUCAAAGUUUCCUCGGUCAUCAGAUUUUGUGUGCACAUCCUGCGCCACAGGGAAACUAAUUUUGAGGCCAUCACACCUUAAAAUACAAGUUGAACCGCUUCAGUUCCUUGAACGCAUUCAAGGUGACAUUUGUGGUCCUAUCCAACCAUUAUCUGGACCAUUUCGGUAUUUCAUGGUUCUGAUUGACGCAUCUACACGAUGGUCACACGUGUGCCUUCUAUCCACACGAAAUCAUGCAUUUGCCAAGAUAAUGCAGGAAGUAAUUAAGUUACAUGCCCAUUAUCCAGAAAAUCGGAUUAAAUCAAUUCGCAUGGACAAUGCUGCAGAAUUCUCCUCACGUGCUUUCAAUGACUAUUGCAUGGCCUUGGGGAUAGAAGUUCAGCACUCUCUCCCAUACGUCCAUACUCAAAAUGGUUUGGCUGAAUCUCUAAAUUAAAAUGAUCAAACUCAUUGCAAGACCUUUGUUAAUGAAUUGUAGCUUGCCAACUUCGUGUUGGGGUCAUGCAAUUUUACACGCUGCUGACUUAAUCCAAUUGCGACCUACUGCAUAUCACAGUACUUCCCCUCUGCAAUUGGUACGUGGAAAUCCUCCCAGCAUUUCCCAUUUGCGUAAGUUCGGAUGUGCUACGUACGUCCCAAUCUCACCACCACAGCGGACAUCCAUGGGCCCACACAAGAAACUUGGGAUCUAUGUGGGGUACAAAUCACCAUCGAUUAUCAAGUACCUAGAACCUCUUACUGGGGAUCUAUUUACAGCCCGUCACGCUGAUUGCAUUUUUGACGAGGAACAUUUUCCGGCAUUAGGGGGAGAUUUCAAGUACCAGAAAGAAUGCCCGGAAAUUGAUUGGAAUGCCAUUGCCAUUUCAACCUUUGAUCCACGUACUCAAGAGACCGAACUACAAGUUCGAAAAAUUAUUAAUUUGCAACAUCUUGCAAAUAAUCUGCCAGAUUCAUUUACUGAUCUAAAAGGUGUUACAAAAUCCUUGAUUCCAGCCAGGAAUGCGCCCGAAAGAGUGGAGGUACCAACUAAAACCACUCAACUCCAUGUUCCUAAAAAGAGGGGGAGUAGUACGGCCGCUGACCCGGAACCUGCUUCUCGCAAGCAGCAAAGGAGAGAGAGGAGAAAAUCCUCAAAAUCAGUAAAUGCAAGUCAACUCAACGUUGAUGAACACCUUAUGGGUAUUUUUCAUCCAGUAGAAGGCCAACCUUCACAACCCAGCUCCAGUGUGCACAAACUAGCUGGAACAUCGGAACACCUAGACUCAAUCGUAUUGGGAAAUAACGAAGAGUCUCUAGGGGUGCAAGAAAUUUCCAUCAACUAUGUUGAUUCUGGAGAAUCAUUUGACCGCAAGUCUACGACUGUCGACAUAUAUUUUGCUGAAGAGAUUGCAGAUAUCCUUAUCACUGAUCAUGAUCCAAAGUCUAUCGUCGAGUGCCAAAGGCGCUCCGACUGGCCUAAAUGGAAGGAUGCAAUCCAAGCAGAAAUUGCCUCGCUUAACAAAAGGAAGGUAUUCACUGAAGCAAUACCUACACCUCCCAAUGUUUUCCGUGUGGGAUUCAAAUGGGUUUUCCUCCAGAAACGGAAUGAGAACAAUGAGGUGGUGAGAUAUAAAGCAAGGCUCGUAGCACAAGGUUUUACGCAGAAACCCGGCAUUGAUUUCAAUGAGACAUACUCUCAAGUAAUGAGUGGAACAACUUUCCGAUAUCUUAUAUCAAUGGCAGUACAAAAUCGUCUAUCCAUGCAGUUGAUGGACGGCGUGACCGCAUAUCUUUACGGGUCACUAGAUUCGGACAUAUAUAUGAAGGUUCCUGACGGUAUCUCUGUCCCGAGUAACAAUGCAAAAGGCAACAUAUAUUGUGUAAAGCUGAAUAAGUCAUUGUAUGGCUUAAAACAGUCGGGGCGGAUGUGGUACAACCGACUAAGUGAGUUCCUUCUUCUGAAAGGUUACUCCAAUAGUGAUGAUUGCCCAUGUGUCUUCAUCAAGAAGUCCUCUACAGGAUUUUGCAUCAUUUCUGUGUAUGUUGAUGAUCUCAACAUCAUCGGCAACGCACCAGAUAUUGAUAAAGCACGCAAUCACCUAAAGAUGGAAUUUGAGAUGAAGGAUUUGGGUCAAACCAAAUUUUGCUUGGGUCUCCAACUCGAGCACCUUACCUCAGGAAUAAUGGUACACCAAGCUGCCUAUAUCCAGAAAAUAUUGGAGAAAUUCAAUAUGGACAAAUCCUACCCAUCUAAAACUCCCAUAGUGGUUCGAUCUCUAGACGUAGAGAAAGAUCCGUUCAGACCAAGGGAUGAUGGUGAAGAGAUUUUGGGACCCGAGGUUCCAUAUCUCAGUGCUAUUGGAGCGCUUAUGUAUCUUGCAAAUUGCACAAGACCCGAUAUUGCAUUUGCAGUAAAUCUACUUGCUAGACACAGCGCAGCUCCUACCAAACGCCAUUGGUCGGGAGUCAAGAAUGUCUUUCGAUAUCUCCAAGGCACAAAGGAUCUUGGUCUAUACUUUCAAUUCCAGGAAAAACUGGACUCUAGUAUAAUUGGAUAUACAGAUGCUGGCUAUUUAUCUGAUCCCCAUAAUGCCAGAUCGCAGACCGGUUUUGUGUUCCUACAUGGUGGAACUGCUAUAUCAUGGAAGUCUUCGAAACAGACCCUAGUUGCAACAUAUACCAAUCAUUUUGAAAUAAUUGCUUUAUAUGAGGCAUCACGUGAAUGCACGUGGCUUCGCAGAAUGAUAAACCACAUACAACAGUCAUGUGGAAUUGGUUCUAUCGAAUCACCUACCAUUAUCUAUGAAGAUAAUGCGGCUUGUGUUGCACAGAUGCAAAUAGGAUACAUAAAGAGCAAUAUCACUAAGCAUAUUGCCCCUAAGUUGUUUUAUCCCCAUGAACUCCAGAAAAGUGAUGAAAUCAACAUCUUGCAAGUCAAGUCAUGUGAUAAUCUCGCUGAUCUUUUUACAAAGUCUCUACCAGCUUCAACAUUCCAGAAAUACCUUCAUGGAAUUGGUAUGCGACGGCUCCGAGAUUUGCAAGAGUCAGGGGGAGUACCUUCCUGAACUGUUCCUGUUCAAAGCCUCAUAUUACACUCUUUUUCCCUUUAUGAGUUUACUCUAGAGGUUCUCAUCAAGGUUUUUAAUGAGGUAAUAUCAACAUAAGAACACAUGUCAUACUAUCUGUUUUCCCCACCGGGGUUUUUAGGAAAAGUAUAUACGACAUGUUUAUUGUCCUCUUAUUCUAUGGAUGCAUUUCAUAUGGAGUUAACGGAGGCAAUAACCAUUAUAUGCGGUAUCAUUUUCUCCUUAUUUUCCCACAGGGUUUGAAGGACUUUUAGCUGCAUAUACUACACCACUCCUUAUAUUUUUCCCACAGGGUUUUUGAAGGAGAUUAUUACAAGAUGAUGAACACGUUCAAGGACAAGUAGAGAUUAGGGGGAGUGUUAGAGUUUAAUUAAUUAUGUAAUUAAUUAAGUUAAUCCCUACUUGUAACCGCACGUACGAUGCGGGAACCGACUUUUCCUGUCAUAUAAAGUUCAUCAUCAAAAAUAAAGUGGAUAGUUGUUUUUCAUUACAUCUCUCUCUUUUCAAUUAUAACACUUCAGAAGAAAAGAGCCGUGUGGCAGGCCGCUCCCCGACGCGGAGCCGCGUGGUCAUCCGGAGAUGUCGAGGAGUUUAAUAAUGCCUUCUCUUCGGG